GUAGUUUUAUCCUCUUUACAUUGAUUUUUUCCCGAAAGCUCUACCUUUCACCGUUCAAAAGUUCUUGAAGUUAGAAGUUGCGAAAACAAGGCAAAAACCAGCUGAGGGCGGCUAGUAAUGAACUCUUUUGGCAACUUUGACUGGCAAGAACUUUUGAACGGUUAAGGGUAGAGCUUUCAGGAAAGAAUCAAAUAAAAGAGAAUAAAACUACGAACAUUUUACCGUAUUAAAAUACCUAUGUGUUCGAUGAAAAUUUUGAGUAAUUUUAGUUCAAAGUUCAAUACUUGCCGCCCGUAGCUGGUUUUUGCCUUGUUUUUGCAACUUCUAACUUCAAGAACUUUUGAACGGUGAAAGGUAGAGCUUUCGGGAAAAAAUCAAUGUAAAGAGGAUAAAACUACGAACAUUUUGCUGUAUUAAAAUAUCAAUGUGUUCGUUGAAAAUUUUGAGUAAUUUUAGUUUAAACAGCGAGCACAAUACCUAGUACAUUUUGCAUCGUUUGCACACCAUUUCGAUUAUCAGACGGGUGUGACGUCACUUUUUAAUGCCCUAUUAAAUCUAGAAAAUUAAUUAAUUUUAAUUGUUUCAAAAGUUUAAAAUGAUCAGUACGUACGUUCUGUAUGUUGCUUGGUCAGUAUGUCAGCAUUGUUCAAUUUUCAAAGUUUGCUCAGCGUUUUAUUACUCUUAAUUUGCACUUGCGCUUAUGUUAGAUCAAUCGUUCCCAGUGUACUCGAUCGGAAUAAAGUCGGAUUAUUUGGUUCAUUUUGGAAAUUAGCACGGAUCGGCGAACGUAAAAGUCCAUAUGUUGCAGCCUGUUGUGUGACAAUGGCAUUUUCUAUAUUAUUUUCUUGAAGCUGGAGUUAUUUUACUAUGAUUUAUAUGUUGAAUAAUAACAUCUUUAUUGUGGCAGUCCUUGAGUUGAUAUAAAAAAGUACGGAGCCGCGUCGGAAUUUUUCAUUAUUUCAUUCGCAUCGCAUCUACUUAUUUGCUGUUGAAAAAAUGUCAGUUGAGAAUAAGGACAACGUUAUAAUAAAAAGUGACGAAUCUUGUGUCGCAGUGAACCCGAAUGCAGCCAACAUUGGGAACCUGAGAUGUGGUUUGGCCCAAGAACUGCGCGAUUCAUUUGAAUACGAUUUAAUUGAUGACUACAUAUAUCUAGGAAAACCGACAUCCUAUAACCAUUCACAACAACGAGCAAGUUCGGUAUAUCUAUGUGGCAUUGACCUGCUAUUGGGUUAUCGAAGUACAGUUCCGUGGGAUUGGGAAGAACACGCUUUGGUUGCCAAAUACCUGAUCAUGAACGCAGGAUUUAGUCAUCUUCUUGUCGUUGAAUUCGUCAACGAAGAGAAUCCCGAUGUAAAAAAAACUAUGACACUGUAUUCGUCCGAAAAUUGUGAAAUUUUUGAAAAGAUACCAACAGACUUUGUAGAUUUUUGUAGUAAGCUUAUGGAAAUUCGCAACAGAAUUACUUCGAGUCAGCCCCAGCCAGGUAAACCAACGCCGAUGGUUGCACUUUUCAACUAUUCUCAAUCUAACCAUCAAAUCUUGAAUUUGAUUGAAGAAGGAUUUGACGUCAAACCGGCGCUAACAAGUCUCUUACGUGAACUUGGAGUCAUAAAAAAUAAAAAAUCAUGUAAAGUACAAGCAUUUGAUCCUUAUAGGAAGUUUCCGGAUGUCGAAUUUAAACAGCGUCACAUCAAAUAUCGUCAAUCAGUGACUGAUCAUGAAGAUAAGUCACCAGCUGAGAAAGGCUGGAUAGUUACACCUAUUGAACGAGAAAAAUUUGUUGAUCAAAUUGAAAAAACUAAAGCAUUAAACGAAGACUUUCGUAAAAUUGUGAUGGAAUUUGCUUCCAAUUAUUUACCGAAACGAAAGGCUAAAACUGAAACACAACUACCACAAAGGUACCCUUUCAUGACAACGCAAAUUGCCCAUGCGUUUAAAUUAAAACUAAAUUGUAUUCAAUAAUUAGAUUAGGUAUUAUUCCAGCAAAUAUCAUACCGUUUUGUUUUUGAAAUUUAGAAAUUUUUUACGUGGAUAAAUUUAGGGGAGAGGGAGGAUGUUUUGGACACUUUUCUUUGAUUUGAAAUUGCGAGCGAUAGGAAACACCUAGAAAGGUGGGGUUGGUCUUAUUUGAAAGAGGAUCUCAACGCGCACAUUUUGACCUACUAAAAAAAUUUUUAAGUUUCAAAUUGAGCCAACCACGGGACUUUGAAGAAAACCCAUUUUGGGUGGAUGUGUUGGACAAUGGUGUGAUGUUUUGGACACCACGGGUGGAUGUUUUGGACAUGCUGAGAAAAGGCGUUUUUUUGAAUGUUUAUUUUUGGAAAUCCCAAAUUUCAAUCCAUUAGAAAUCAAUCGUCAGUAUCUGUCCACAAUUUCACUUGAUUUCAGUUGACUCGGAUUGUUUUUAAUAUUAGUGAGGCAAUGUUGAAGAGUUCACUUUUUUAUGCCAUAUUUUUCAGCCAGUGCUGGCCUGCUCGAAUCGACAUAUUUUCAGGAGGCAACUUCAAAUCGUUCUUGAUUAGCAUUUAUCAUUCCAGACUCAUUAAAAGUCUUUCCUGUAUUUGUCCGAUAAAACUGAUGCAUUCUUACACCCAAACAUAGCGAAUUAACAUAAAUUAAUCGAAGUGUCCAAAACAUCCACCCGUGACAUUUUUACUUCAACUGGCUCUAGGAAAAAAGUAUCAGCUUUUUACGAAAAGGUGAUAAGUGAUUAUUGUAGAGGAGGAAUCAGAGAUUUCAUUUCACUUUGGCGCUUGAUGAAAUUCUUCCUGGUUAUUUUUCUGGAGCAGAAAAAGUGAGAGGACAAUUUUCUCAAAAAGCCGUGUUGUCAUAACGAAAUUUUUUUUCCGUUAUGUUAUAUCGUUUCGUUUCAGAAUUGUGAAAUUUUUCGUUACGUUAUUUUUCCGUUAUUUCGUUACACAGAUAAUUCCGUUACGUUAUGUUUUCCGUUUAUCGUUAUUAUAUCAUUUCAUUUUUCCGUUAUUUCGUUUCGUUUUUCGUUAUAGUACAAAAAUGCCCAAAUUGGGGGUUACUCUGAAAAAACUGAAAAAAGUACAAAAUGUUUCAAAAAUUUCUCAGUAUUGGGGUUGAAAAUUUUUGUGGGGAUACGUACUAAGGAUAUACAUAAUACAUAACUUCCAGAAAAAUUUUCAAAAUCGGUCAACAUGGGGCUGAGAAAAGCGUUAUUGAAAUUUCAGAAAAGGGGGGUCCAAAAAGGGGUGGGGGUGUGGAUCUGAAAUUUUUCACGCGCAAGUUUCUCCAUCGUACCCACCUUCCAUGCUGAUAUGAACUCGAAUGCUUUCGGGGACCAUUUCACCCCCCUUAGGCGCCUAUAUCCUUUAUGUAUUUUUCAGGAAACCCCCCUUUUUUGAAUAGUUGUACCCCCUUGAACAUACAAGGAAAGUUGAUACAUCAUUAGAUCGGAAAUUUGACAUAGAUUCUUUUAUGUUUUAUCUAACCACAUAUUUUUCGCUAAAAUGCAAUGCGGGGGAGAAAAUGGCGAAAAACUGUGCUAGGGAGUACAAAUGUGGGUCUGCGGGGAGAAGCUCCAGGCGGAUUUAGGGUGGGUUUUAGUAUGUCAUUUAGGACACCAUCCUGAGCAUUUUGGUGCAAAAAUAUUAAAAUAAUUUCUAAUUCGACUGGACUACUUUUAUUAAUUAAUAAUUUUUUAAUCAUUUUGCAAACUUUUUUAAAAAUUUUGUACAUUUUUUAUUUUUUAGGGUUUUUGCUGCUAGCAGCAUAAACCCUAUUGCAAUCGUCGACCGUAUAUAAUGGACGAAUAAUUCAACGGUGAAAAAAUGACAAAAUGUGAAGCCUAGAUUUUGGAUGCAGAAUCCUGGAAAUCUUCUGCUCAUGCGCCAAACAUGACGCUUACGGUGCUGGUGGAGAGAGAGACGGUUUACUGGUUGAACGUGGGUUGAACCAGGGAACCGUCUCUCUCUCCGCCAGCACCGUAAGCAUCAUGUUUGGCGCAUGUGCAGAACGUUUCCAGGAUUCUGCAUCCAAAAUGUGGGCGUCAUUUCCUGCCAUUUGAAUUAUUCGUCCAUUAUAUACGGUCGACGAUUGCAAUUGAUUAUUUUCAAUUUAACUUGUAGCCAAUCAGUGAGCAGUAUUUCGGAGAGACCCAUUCUGUGAUUUGGAUUGGAGAGUGCAUGGAGUCUGUGUGACGUCAGCGCCGCGUAUAGGCGACGUUUUAACGAAAUGUGAAAAUGUGUGAUGUUCUUUAAUCUUUAAUCUUUAUCGUUUUGCUUUUUGCUUUUGCUAAUUAAUUACGCUAAUUAUCACUGAAUGACUGAAUGUACAUAUGAUAAAUGAUAAUAGGGAUGGAAAGCAGGAAAGCAGAAAGCUAGCUGAAAGCUGAGGAAGUAGGGGGGGGGGUUGAAAGCUAUUGUUAGCUAAGCAAGUAGCAACUUAAAAGCUAGCGAAAGCCAGAAGCUUUUUAGUUUUUAUUCAGUUUUCUUUAUUUUUUUUUGCAAAUUCGUUACUCCGUAAAUUUCUUCUUGUUUUUGGCUGUAAUCAAAUUUACAUUUACGAAAAAUAAAUAAAAAAUAAAAAAAAGCACCUAACAAAAAGCAAAAACCCUUUGCAAUCAGCGAAUAGCUGAUAGCUUGUUUUAAUCAAUGCUUAGUAAAAAAAAACGGAAAAAAACGAAAAAAAUAACGGAAUUUUUUCCGUUUUUCCGUUUUUUGUUUCGUUAUGGCACAAAGAUUUUUUCAUAACGUUAUAAUUUCGUUAUCGUUUCUUCUGUAGAAAAUUUCGUUUUCGUUUAUCGUUACGUUAUUAUAACGGAAAAAAUUCCGGUUUUUUCCAUUUUUUCGUUACGUUAUGAAUAACGUUAUGACAACACUGGAAGAAAUUAUGAUGAAUAGUUUAAUACAAAACGCCAUCCUACUUGUCAAAAAAUAUUCAACAAUAAAAUUUACAUAUCGUGUAUGUACUGUACCUGUAUUUUUCUUAUCAAUGAGUUUUAAGUAUAUUUUUUUAAAAAGUUUUUUAUGGAAGUUUACCUAUAAAAUGUGUACUCAUAUACAUUAUUUUAUACUUAUACACAAUGAAAAAUUGAAAAAAAAUAAUAAUAAAUAUCUAUUGUGGUCUUUUAGGCUCAAGGCUCGACCAUAGACCCCAACCCUACCCAAACAAUCAGCCAUCCUUAUCACAAUUCUGGACUUGUAAAAAUUUACGUUUUACGUUGCUGAUCCAAUCGUGAGCAAUAAAUAAGAUGAGUUCUGAGUAAUUUUACAUAUUAAAAAACCAAGUACAUACAUAGAUAGAUAACAUUUAAAAAUUGUAUGACCCGACCUUAGUCAUUGUUCCAAUUUUCAAAAAAAAAAAAAUUGUAAAACAGUUUGACGAUUAGGUACACAUUAAAUUUUUGACUGUACCCCUUCAGAAUAUGCAGCUGAUCGAAAAAAUCUUAAUUUUUGAAACUGUUGUUAUGUCUUAUUUACUGAUUUAUUUUUUUCUUUGUACAUAUUUUUUAUAUUUCAUACUCAUUAUUUUUUCCAUUCGUUGAUUUUUUAUUACCAUUCAGCAUUGUUCUUAUCACAGGUUCUGUAGGAUAUUCCAUCACUGGUUUAAUUUUUGUUCAGGAAUGCACUAUUCAGACCCUACUACCUUAUUUCUUUACCCAACAGGGGCUUGCAAAAACGAAAACUCGGCGGAUAUGAUUUUUUCAUGCCUUUAUUAGUUGGUUUACAAUUUUCAUCCAAAAACGUUCAUUUCUCGUAUUUUAAUGAAUUUUUAUUGGAAAAUCGAAAUUUUGAAAGGGGUGAGCCUAAAUUAAGCGCCUGGGGGGCUGGGGACAUUGCAUAAUAUAUCCGUUUACUUUUAGGUAGUCCUGUGGGGCUGUGGGUUGUUUUCUCCGUUUUGCUUCUCCGUGAUCCUGAUCACCCCCUCCUCUGGUCACGCGAUGGUCAAAACAUAGCAUCCACACCAACAAGCAAGGUUGAACGCUAGUACGCUACACUAAAUAAAUAAAGAACUGCGAAUGUGAAACCGGUUGGCUUUUCAUUGCUGCUUAGUGUAGUUUACCUCUGCAUCCGUAUGCACAAGUACACAACUUAUCUACCUACCUCCAUACCAUUACCAUACCAUAGUAAGCGUAUCUCCUUCUCCACUUCUCCAGCACCAGUAACCAGUCUAUUAUUGUUGUGUAUAUUGUAGCAGUCAUUGAGUUCAUAUAAAAAAAUAUGUCAGGUUUGCAUGAUAGGUACUGCACUGUACUUUUUCCAAUUCGACCAACGCGUUGUACUUUGUUUAUUCAAACGAGUUCUAAGUUGAUGUUCAAAAUUUUAACGUCGGAAUUUUUCAAUAUUUCAUUCGCAUCUACUGCUGUCGAGAAAAUGCCGGGUAAGGACUACGUUAUAAUGAAAAGUGACGAAUCUUGUGUCGCAGUGAACGUGAAUGCAGCAAACGUUGGGCACCAGAGACGUAUUUCGUCGCAAGAACUACGCGAUUCACUUGAAUACGAUAUAAUUGAGGAAUACAUAUGGCUAGGUAAACCGACUUCCUAUAUCAAUUCACAAGUACGAGCAAGUUCGGUUUAUCUACGUGCCAUUAGACUGAUAUUGGGUUCUCUAUGGGGUCCUCGGAGUACAGUUCCGUGGGAUUGGGAAGAACACGCAUUGGUUGCCGCAUCCUUUAUCAAGGACGCAGGAUUUGACUCGAAUCAUCUUCUCGUCGUUGAAUUUGUCAACGAAGAGAAUCCCGAUGUAAAGAAAACGAUGACACUUUAUUCGUCCGAAAAUUGUGAUGUUUUUGAAAAGAUACCAACAGAAUUUGUAGAUUUUUGUAGUAAGCUUAUGGAAAUUUGCAACAAAACUACUUCGAGUCAGCCCCAGCCAGGUAAACCAACGCCGAUGGUUGCACUUUUCAACUAUUCUCAAUCUAACCAUCAAAUCUUAAAUUUAAUUGAAGAAGGUUUUGACGUCAAAUCGGCGCUAACAAGUCUUUUACGCGAACUUGGGGUUAUAAAAAGUGAAAAACUAUGUAAAGUGCAAGCAUUUGAUCCUUAUAGGAAGUUUCCGGAUGCCGAAUUUGAACAGCGUCACAUCGAAUAUCGUAAAUCAGUGACUGAUCAUACAAAUAAGUCACCAGCUGAGAAAGGCUGGAUAGUUACACCCACUGAACGCGAAAAAUUUCUUGAUCAAAUUGAAAAAACUAAAGCAUUAAACAAAGACUUUUGUAAAAUUGUGAUUGAAUUUGCUUCCAAUUAUUUACCAGACACUAAAGCACAGAUUGAACGAAGAUGUAAUAUUUUAUAUAUGUAAUUAGCCCAUAACAUAACCUAUAUGUACCUAACUAUAUUAUACUUCAGGAAAUAUUAUACAGUUUUGUUUUUGAAAUGUGGAAAUUUUUUACGUGGAUAAAUAAAUUUACUUAUUAAUGAA